GGCAAUACAGCUAGGCACAAAGCAACAGAGUUGUAGAGUGGUACUUUCCUGCCACUGCUUAAUAUUUCUUACAUGAGGACUACUUUACCUUUUUAUAGCCAGGAGCAGAGCGGCAGUCUGAACGUAUAGGAUGGCUUCUAACUUGACAACGUGACUUUUCAGCAGAGCAGGUACUGCUGGGAGCCUUGAGCCUUGAGCCUUGAGCUGGUACUGCCUCUGGUGGAACACCGCUGGUUUCCUACCUCUGGUGGGAAGAGUUUGUGGGCGUCUUAUGCCAUGUUGAUGCUAUCCCUGCAGGAAUAAAGGCUAGCACAAAGGAGACGAUGUCUGCCAUGGUUUGUCUGGCUGGGGCCUGUGCAGGCAACUCCACUGAACUGAUGCUGUGUGACUCUCCCAGCUUCCAAUUGCAUGUGACUGGGUACACGGACUGGCACAAAUCCCAACUCCUCAGUUAGAACACGAUUUAAAGGAGAAACCAGACUCACUGACCUAAAUCACUGCCAGUCCUCUCUGGAUGCGGGGACAGCUGUCGACUAGCAGUGACACAACCAGCCAUCAAGCGGAGAAUUUCUACGACUACAGUCUGUGUACAGGUGGAGCCUGGGAGAGUGACAGUCUGAUUUCGAUUUGCUGAAGGCUUCUUAUGCCCCUAAAUAAGUAUGCUCGCUCGGUAUACAGUUGUCUGGAUUAGUCUGCCUUCUGUACAGUCUUUGCCUGCUCUAGUUGGAAAUCAGGGUGCCAAGCAAGCACCUUUCUUUCUUUGGACUGGUUCCUUUCUGUGUGAUGUUUGCAACUAGGAUGGGUCACACUGACAACAAAGAAGGAAGCAGAAAGCGCCACUUCACCUUCUCUUGUGAUGUUAACGGAACAUAGCUCUUCUUUGCAAUGAUGCCCUUGGGUGUGUGUUCGUGUGUGUGUGUGUGUGUGUGUGUGUGUGUGUGUGUGUGUGUGUGUGUGUUAAUUCAUCUAAUUGAAGAGUCUCACAGAUAUCAUCAUGGAUGUGGUCCUUAAUGAUUUGGAGAAAUAAAAAAAAGACAGCCUGUGGAGACAGCAAUUUGAAACAGCAGCACAUUUAGGUUAUUGCCAUUUUGAAAUACUUUGGUUUGUGAAGCUGAGCCCUAAGGGACAAACCUGGUAACUGAGGAAGAGAUUAUAGAUAAAGAAAUAAAAAUGACGAGCAUAAUGGAGCCUCUGUGAAAGGACUGUCAGAGCAUCAGUUCAUGGAUGGCAAUUUUGCCAGGCUGAGAUUGAAUAAUUCAUAGAUUGAAAUUACCCUGCCUUCACCUUUCCAUUUAAACUAGCAUGAUCUGAAUCGCUAAUAAAUUUUCAAGAUAAAGUAAAAUGCCAAUUUGAAUCUGAAGAGCUUUUAAAACCAGAUGCUGCAUUCCUGAAUCUUUUGGUAUCUUUCACAAUUAUACUGUGAGAACUGCACUUCGUCACGAAGCACCAUUACCAGGGAAAAUUACUGUGAUUACAAUAGCAACAAUAGAAUACCAUCAAAUGAUCUCUAAUUUACCUAAUUUACAAAGUCGGUGUGGUUUUAAUGCCCAUUGUAUGUCACCAUGCCUGGCACCCGUGAAUCCAUCUUGCACUGGGAAGAAAAAAAAAAGUGAAGCAGUGUGUUUAACACCUUAACUCUGAGAGUCUAGCAAAGAGCAUCCUCCUAGCUUAUAGCGUUUCUCCUUUGAGGAAAUAGGGAAAGCCUUCUGUGGAUUUGGAGGAUUUAUUGUUAUAGGAGAAAGAUAAAUUUGUUAAUUUAUAUACCUUGACUAUUUAAAAUGUAUACAAAUAUGUGUUCACUGAAAGGGAGUAAAGAUUCUGGGAGAGUAGUUUAAAAAUGCUGCCAAAAUGAAACAUAUGCCUUUUUCUCUUCUCUCAAAAAACGUAUUUGCUUUCAGGUUUGAGUUCCUUUCAGGGAUUAUAAUGCUGGUGUAAUUUGUGAAAAACCUCUCACACUGGAAAGAAGCUUGUAAGGUCCACCCUUAAUAACUUUGUGUGCAGUUCUUAUUAAAAGAUGGUUUGUUCUAUCAAGUUAAGCGUGGGUAUUUGUGCCACCUUUAGAAAGGACAAUGGUUCAUAAAGCCUCACUGAAGAGCAGAGUCCAGUCAUAUAAUAGGCAUGGUGAUUUCUGGAAUGUUUUUGUCGGUACCAUGAAGACUCUAUUGAUGUAUCCUGUUAAUCAAGAGAUUUCUCUAAGUUUGAUUAACUAAGGCAAAGUUUCCAAGGAAUAACAAUCCUUGGGAAGGAAGGUAGAUUUGAAAGGUAACUGGCUAACAUUGUGGAUGUUUUGCUUGAGACCUUUAGCUAUGAUGUGUUCUUCAAUCCAUUAUCACUGCUUUAGACCAGCCUCCUGUAUUCAACACCCUUGCAAAUACCUCUGUUAGAAGCAGAGCACUGAUCACCUCUGGCUCGUGGUGGUGCAGAAGACUGAACCUGGGACUUUGGAGCCUCAGCAUGAGAGUCUCUUUGCAUAACCAUAUCUACCCCUGCC